rnacentral:tRNA from 1 species
CGGAGCGUAGCGCAGCCUGGUAGCGCACUAAGCUGGGGGCUUAGGGGUCGGAGGUUCGAAUCCUCUCGCUCCGACCA